GACAGAGGUGCCGAGCGUUAGGCGGAAUCACUGGGCUUAAAGCGUGUGUAGGCGGAUCUGUAAGUACCUUGUGAAAUCCCACGGCUCAACCGUGGAACUGCUUGGUAUACUGCGGAUCUUGAGCCACCUAGGGGCAAGUGGAACAAACGGUGGAGCGGUGAAAUGCGUAGAUAUCGUUUGGAACGCCAAUGGUGAAAACAACUUGCUGGGGGUGUGCUGACGCUGAGACACGAAAGCCAGGGGAG
rnacentral:rRNA from 1 species